GGGGGAAUGGUAGAUUUUAUACCCGCUCAGCCUAUGAGGUCCAAACUUAUUAGGUCAAUGCUCUGUGGAAGUGUAGGUUCGAAUCCUGCUUUCCCCA
rnacentral:tRNA from 1 species